rnacentral:rRNA from 1 species
AUGCUUUACACAUGCAAGUCGAACGGCAGCAUAGAGAGCUUGCUCUCUGAUGGCGAGUGGCGAACGGGUGAGUAAUACAUCGGAACGUGUCCGUUUGUGGGGGACAACCACCCGAAAGGGUGGCUAAUACCGCAUAAGACCUGAGGGUGAAAGCCGGGGACCGCAAGGCCUGGCGCGAACGGAGCGGCCGAUGACUGAUUAGCUGGUUGGCGGGGUAAAGGCCCACCAAGGCGACGAUCAGUAGCUGGUCUGAGAGGACGACCAGCCACACUGGAACUGAGACACGGUCCAGACUCCUACGGGAGGCAGCAGUGGGGAAUUUUGGACAAUGGGGGCAACCCUGAUCCAGCCAUGCCGCGUGCGGGAAGAAGGCCUUCGGGUUGUAAACCGCUUUUGUCAGGGACGAAAAGGUGCGGGUUAAGAGCUAGCACUGAUGACGGUACCUGAAGAAUAAGCACCGGCUAACUACGUGCCAGCAGCCGCGGUAAUACGUAGGGUGCGAGCGUUAAUCGGAAUUACUGGGCGUAAAGCGUGCGCAGGCGGUUGGGUAAGACAGAUGUGAAAUCCCCGGGCUUAACCUGGGAACUGCAUUUGUGACUGUCCGACUGGAGUAUGUCAGAGGGGGGUGGAAUUCCAAGUGUAGCAGUGAAAUGCGUAGAUAUUUGGAAGAACACCGAUGGCGAAGGCAGCCCCCUGGGGCAAAACUGACGCUCAUGCACGAAAGCGUGGGGAGCAAACAGGAUUAGAUACCCUGGUAGUCCACGCCCUAAACGAUGUCUACUAGUUGUUGGAGGGUAAAACCUUCAGUAACGA